GUGCUCACUUCAGCAGCACAUAUACUAAAAAUUGGAAUGAUACAGAGAAGAUUAGCAUGGCCCCUGCACAAGGAUGACAUGCACAUUUGUGAAGCGUUCCAUAUUUAA
rnacentral:snRNA from 1 species